UCCUUGAAGCAUGUUUUUGUUUAUAUAUAGUCCCACAUUCGCCAUACGGAACUCGAAUUUAGAUUCUGCGCCGCAAACAUCAUGACCAGUUAAACAUAAGGAUUUAAGACAUACGACGACGAGCACAUAGGGGAUAGUAAAUAAUCAGAUAGCGUCAUAUGCAAAGGCUUACCUUUUUUGCCGAUCUUAUUUUGUACCGGCAAUAUCACCAGUGUGGACAUCCAUGUGAACCUGUGUGGUAACCCUUAAGAUUAUGAUUCCUUGCUUUUGUUCGGUUUUCCGUAAAUCACAGUCAUCAUUGCACGCUUUGACCGUUAAAUUUGACUUUAUGAAUCGACCAUAGAGGGUUCCGUGAUGAAGAUCUCAAAAUAAAGCACAAGUGUGUGGAUGCGUCAUGGUCGCCGCAGUUAUCGUACUAUC